AGGGCCGUAACUCAGCGGGAGAGUGCCAUCCUCACACGGUGGAAGUCACGGGUUCAAAUCCCGUCGGCCCUACCA
rnacentral:tRNA from 1 species